rnacentral:rRNA from 1 species
AACGAACGCUGGCGGCGUGCCUAACACAUGCAAGUCGAACGAGAAAGGGGCUUCGGCUCCGAGUAAAGUGGCGCACGGGUGAGUAACACGUAGGUAACCUGCCUCUAAGAUUGGGAUAACCUGUCGAAAGAUGAGCUAAUACCAAAUAAGACCACGGCUUCCUCGGAAGCAGGGGUCAAAGGUAGCCUCUACUUGUAAGCUAUCACUUAGAGAUGGGCCUGCGUACCAUUAGCAGUUGGUGGGGUAACGGCCUACCAAGGCCAAGAUGGCUAGCUGGUCUGAGAGGAUGAUCAGCCACACUGGAACUGAGACACGGUCCAGACUCCUACGGGAGGCAGCAGUGGGGAAUAUUGCGCAAUGGGCGAAAGCCUGACGCAGCAACGCCGCGUGAGUGAUGAAGGCCUUC